GCGGGAGUGGCGGAAUGGCAGACGCGCGGGACUUAGGAUCCCGUGGGGCAACCCGUGAGGGUUCGACUCCCUCCUCCCGCACCA
rnacentral:tRNA from 1 species